UUUAUUGGAGAGUUUGAUCCUGGCUCAGGAUGAACGCUGGCGGCGUGCCUAAUACAUGCAAGUCGAGCGAAUGGAUUAAGAGCUUGCUCUUAUGAAGUUAGCGGCGGACGGGUGAGUAACACGUGGGUAACCUGCCCAUAAGACUGGGAUAA
rnacentral:rRNA from 3 species